rnacentral:tRNA from 1 species
GCCCUAAUAGCUUAAAUCUUAAAGCAUUGACCUUGUAAGCCAAAGCCGGAUAUUCCUUAGAGCA